UUCAGCCCCAUCACAUGUAACCCUUGCUCAGAAAUGAGGGUCAUUUCUUCUUCCUUGCUUCAGGCGUUUGUUUCUUCUUGCUUCUCUUCAACUCACCUUUCAGCUCUUGGAGUGGAACCCUAGCUUAGAUCUCCUCAAGAAGAAGACUAAACUCAUCCAAGAACCUCCAUCCUCCAAUUCUUUCAGCUCACACCUCUAUCUUUUGCUUUGAUGCUCCAUUUCACACCCUUGGGAAGAAGACUAAGUCAGUUGGGUGUGUAACCAAGUGUAGGGAAGGUAGAAAUAAUCAUAAAUCGUGCAACCUACAGCUUGAAGAGAUAAUGACGAAGAUGAGGUUGUAGAGCAAGACACUACUCAGGAAGGAGAGACGGAUGUUUAGUAGUAGCCUUGGGUUGGGUCUCUGAAUGAAGUUUAGUUUUUGGUUGAUUUUGUGAAACUGUUUGGUCUAUGUAUUUUUAGAAGUAAAGCAUUUCGUAAACUAAGUAAAUGUUCCUACCAUGAAAGUAGUUAUGGUUUUUAAUAUGUAGCUAAUGAGACAGUGACAAACAUGUUAUUUUGAGUUUUGAAGUUAUAAAAGAAAAAUGAGAAAGUCCCUUUUGUUAUCAUAUUAUUUAUGUAUAGAGGAAAACAAAGUAGGACGAAAUGUAGCAGCUCAUUCCAUCUCUAGGGAUGGGUUGUUACAGGCCUCCUCCAACUCAAAGGUGAACUAGCUUAUUCUAUACUCGAGCAACCUCAAGGACAUUAAUAUUUUAGUAUAUUGUUUGGUCCUAAUGCUAGCAUAUAUUUUGUUUGGUCCCUUGAACUUGCUUGAAGACGUGGGUAUCACUCUUCAACACACUCCCAAAGGUGUGGAAAACUAGAUCUUACAAGCUUAACAAUAUAAGAGCAAUGCUAGAUAGAAAUAUAGGAUGUGCACGUCUUGUAUAGUCCAUUUGAAAAAAGUAAAUCACACCAGGAAUAGGUUAUGAAAAAGUCAAUUUUUCAUAGUGGUCCACUUUAAAAGAGACUGUGUAAAACUUACAUAUCCUAGACCUACACAAAUCAUCUUCUUUUUGCAUAACUCAACACUAAAUAGUAGCACAAGACAUUCAUAAGCCUGACUGCCAAGUGCUAAUGGUAUCCAAGUGUAUGACGAAACAAAGACCAUGUAACUUCCAACCAAAUAGACGUAGAACCAUAGCUUUACCUAAUACGACAUAUGCAAGAAAUAUGAAACACCAAUUUCAAAUGGCAAGGGUGACAUUGUGCCAAGAUUUAUAAAGCAAAGGCAAUACAUGAGUCCCAAGCUUGCAAGAUUAUCAAAAUCCUAUAAAAAUUUCAAUGAGAAGCUAAAGCAAAACAGAAAAUGUUUCUAUAUGUGUGUGUAUAUAGGUAUGCGGAAAUAAAAUGAAAAAGCAAUCUAAUUUCAUGGAAAGAGAUGUUUUUCAAUUUGCUCAAGUGCUAAAUGUGUAAUCUUUGGUACAGAGUGUCACCAAGAAGACUUUAGAAAUUUGAAUCAACUUGUAAUAUAGAGUUAUCCUAAAGAUAAGUUAAAAACUCAACAAUACUAGUAUAACUUACAUGGAUGAUAGCUAACAUCUCCAUGUCAUAUAUAGUCAUAUUCAAGUGAUAUGGUUACAACAUCUUAUUUAGUACUAUGGUUAACAUGGCCUUUUUAAGACUUGUCACAAGGCUU